CCUACGGGAGGCAGCAGUGAGGAAUAUUGGUCAAUGGACGCAAGUCUGAACCAGCCAUGCCGCGUGCAGGAUGACGGCUCUAUGAGUUGUAAACUGCUUUUGUACGAGGGUAAACCCCGAUACGUGUAUCGGGUUGAAAGUAUCGUACGAAUAAGGAUCGGCUAACUCCGUGCCAGCAGCCGCGGUAAUACGGAGGAUCCGAGCGUUAUCCGGAUUUAUUGGGUUUAAAGGGUGCGUAGGCGGUUUGAUAAGUUAGAGGUGAAAUGUCGGGGCUCAACCCCGAAACUGCCUCUAAUACUGUCGGACUAGAGACGGCGAGAAGUACGCGGAAUGCGCGGUGUAGCGGUGAAAUGCAUAGAUAUCGCGCAGAACUCCGAUUGCGAAGGCAGCGUACCGGCGCCGGACUGACGCUGAGGCACGAAAGCGUGGGUAUCGAACAGGAUUAGAUACCCGUGUAGUC
rnacentral:rRNA from 1 species